AUGUUUGGGACGAUGUUGGUAGUUAUUGAGUUUGCUUCUUAUGUAGAUGAUGAUGACUGGAAAAAGUUUUUCUCGUUUCUCUUAAGGAUGAGUACAGGAAGCAAGAUCAUCAUCGUAAGCAAACUUAAGAGAUUAGCCCGGUUGGGAACGCUGAAACCGAUCUUCCUAAGUGUGCUAUCUUACGACGAGUUGAGAUACCUUUUCAAGGCACUAUCCUUCGGGAGUGUAGAGCCCGCAGAACAUCCUCGGCUAGUACAAAUGGCAGAUGAAUUUUCCAAUGAGUUGCGCAGUGCACAUAGGUUCACUUCUUGCAACAAAUGCCUACGCAGAUGUCUUGAGAAGGAAUCUCGAUGUUCAGUUUCGGGAGCGCAAAAUGGACAAGAGGAUGAUAGUGGUCAAGAGGAACCUCUUCAUGUAUGCCGUGCACCCGAACACGCUUAUACAACAAGGCCAGGACAUAACAGAGUUUCCUUUGCAUCCACUUAG
rnacentral:rRNA from 1 species